rnacentral:misc_RNA from 1 species
GAUGAAGAACGUAGCGAAAUGCGAUAAGUAAUAUGAAUUGCAGAAUUCAGUGAAUCAUCGAAUCUUUGAACGCACAUUGCGCCCGCCAGUAUUCUGGCGGGCAUGCCUGUUCGAGCGUCAUUUCAACCAUCAAGCCCCGGGCUUGUGUUGGGGACCUGCGGCUGCCGCAGGCCCUGAAAUGCAGUGGCGGGCUCGCUGUCACUCCGAGCGUAGUAGUUACAUCUCGCUCUGGGCGUGCUGCGGGUUCCGGCCGUUAAAAGCCUUAUUUACCCAAGGUUGACCUCGGAUCAGGUAGGAAGACCCGCUGAACUUAAGCAUAUCAAUAAGCGGAGGA